rnacentral:rRNA from 1 species
UAACACAUGCAAGUCGAACGGGAAAACCCGCAAGGGUGAGUACAGUGGCGCACGGGUGCGUAACACGUGGGUAAUCUGCCCUGAAGCCCGGAAUAACUCCCCGAAAGGGGUGCUAAUGCCGGAUGAGACCACGGGACUUCGGUCCCUGGGGGAAAAGGUGGCCUCUGUAUACAAGCUAUCACUUCAGGAUGAGCCCGCGGCCCAUCAGCUAGUUGGCGGGGUAAUGGCCCACCAAGGCUACGACGGGUAGCUGGUCUGAGAGGACGAUCAGCCACACUGGAACUGAGACACGGUCCAGACUCCUACGGGAGGCAGCAGUGGGGAAUCUUGCGCAAUGGGCGAAAGCCUGACGCAGCAACGCCGCGUGUGUGAUGAAGGUCUUCGGAUCGUAAAGCACUGUCGGGAGGGACGAAUAAGGGCCGGGUGAACAAUCCGGCCUGACGACGGUACCUCCAGAGGAAGCACCGGCUAACUCUGUGCCAGCAGCCGCGGUAA